GCCAUUUGGGGCCUCUCUAGAAUUUCUUACAGCAGAAACAUCAGAAGAAAAUAAUUCAGACACCUCAACAGUGCAACCAUCUGUCAAGUGACCGCUUCCUUUACACUUCUGGCAGAAGAGUGACUUAGUACCAGUUCCAGUGUGUUUUAAGCGUCUCCCAGAACUCUCCUUUGUCCUCUCACCAACAUUUUUUGAUUCACUCGGCUGGGGCAGACCAUCAGACAGACCUUCACCAGUGUUAGAUGUUGGUCUCUCAGCAAUAUAAGAGUUCGGCAAAGAAUCAUCUCUUGCACUACUCUGGUCAGGUCGCUGAUCAGAGCUACUAAUUUUAUUGGUAGCAGGAGCUCCUGUGGACAUGGAUGUGUGAGAUGUUUUCUUCUUAGCUUCAUCUGAUUAACAUAGGCAGAAAAUGCAUAGUAAAAUGAAUAUGUA
rnacentral:misc_RNA from 1 species